AGCAGCCGCGGUAAUUCCAGCUCCAAUAGCGUAUAUUAAAGUUGUUGCAGUUAAAAAGCUCGUAGUUGAAUUUCGGGGUUCAUACGUUGGUCGGGCUUUUUGGUCUGUACUGGCGUAAUGGAUUCCUACCUUCUGAAUAACCGGCAUGUCAUUAAUUUGGUGCGCCGGGGAAGCAGGACUGUUACCUUGAAAAAUUAGAGUGCUUAAAGCAGGCUAUCGCCUGAAUACAUUAGCAUGGAAUAAUGAAAUAGGACGGCAUGGCUCUAUUUUGUUGGUUUCUAGGAUCACCGUAAUGAUUAAUAGGGAUAGUUGGGGGCAUUAGUAUUCAAUUGUCAGAGGUGAAAUUCUUGGAUUUAUUGAAGACUAACUUCUGCGAAAGCAUUUGCCAAGGAUGUUUUCAUUAAUCAAGAACGAAAGUUAGGGGAUCGAAGACGAUCAGAUACCGUCGUAGUCUUAACCAUAAACUAUGCCGACUAGGGAUCGGACGAUGUUAAUUUUUAAUGACUCGUUCGGCGCCUUA
rnacentral:rRNA from 1 species